UCGACAAAAAAAACUGAUUGUUAAUUUAAAACUUGUGGCAACCAAAUGCAAUUUAUGUUAAAAAACAACUAAGUAAAGACCUAACAAAAAUUAGGUAGUGGAAACAAGAAACGUUUAUAGAGUGUAGUAGAGUAAUGUCAUCUUGCGCACGCACAAACAAGGUCGGUCUGUAGAGACGCGCGGUCGUGUGCUCUCUGAAAUACUACGAGUACUGAAACUGCAGAUUAUAAAACUUUUUUAAAUAUCAUUCUUUAGUGCCAGUGAUUUCAAAAAUAUAUUUCAACGAAUUGAUUAACCUGAGUUUUUGGUGAUUUAUUUCAAUCUUGAAAAUGACGUCACCAGCCAUCACCAAAUCGCCAGACAACCAGAAGGGUGACAAGAAGUCCCCCACUCAUUCAGCGGGGGCUAUAGACCGUGCGCCCACGCCUGCCGAGGCUCCAUCCUCUUCAACUUCACCUCCACAGCAGACAGAAACCUUCAGCUGGCUGCGAAUCUUCAAAUUAGCUGAUCUCAUGAUGAAGCAAGGAUGUUAGAUUCAAUUAUUAAAUUAUAUCUUUAGAAAUGUUCUUUAAGUUUUAGAGAGCUAAAGAAAAGCAAAUGCAAUAAUUUGAAAUAGAAACAAGAUUUCUGACAAACCCAGAUGCCAUAUAUAUUAUAGGCAAUUUUUCCGCCUUCAAAUAUUCAUUUUCUAGAAUAUUUUACACAGCAAUGGAGCGGUUUUAGAUUGGUAGGUUUUAGAGUUAGUUAAUGUGAAUUAAUUUUAUUAUUUCCAUUUGUGACAAUAUCCAAAAAAUCAUGUGUGUGAACAGUAUUUGUAGGUAAUUGUUGAUAUAGGUAUAAUCUUCGAUGUAAAUCGUCGUCCAAUUUAUUAAGUACUAAGCGUUUAUUUCGUGUGUCCGCUCCAAACUUAUUACGAGUAUUGGCCAUAUCUUGGGUUUGAAGCAGCGUAUCGCGAUUAAACCAAUACCAAUUUUAAGUUAGACAAUGCGUGGCAACUGCGAAACUCCGCGAACCGCAUCAAAUUCCAUCCAAUAGUUUUUGAGUGAUGUGCAAUAAACAUACACACAGAUAAAAAAUCGGAACAAUUAUAUAGUCCAACAGAUUUCGGUCAUGGCGACCAAUUCAACGAUUUUGAACUAGCUGGUGUGCUCGCAUAUGGCUAAGUAGCUAGCGAGUUCAAAAUCUUUGAAAUUGUGGCCAUGACCGAAAUCGGUCGGACCUCAUUGAACAUCAUUAUGUAGGUAUAUAGAAAACCAGCAUGGAGUAAUUAAACGUAGCGGAAUCUCGUUGUUAGUCGAACAGUACAUGUCGUACUUACUUCUACAUGUUAUACUUGUGUUUCAAUGUAGUUAUUUUAUCCUAGAAUAUUAUUAUUGUGCCGUUAUAUUUACCAUAAAUAGCCACAAACAAGAACUGAAACAUCAAGUGUUUCCUGAAAUUAAACGAAGCAAAUUCCCACAUGUGCAAAAAAUUCAUACCGCUUCAAAUAUUUUGGCGUGUUGAUAUCAUUCCAAACGAUUAAUUUGAAUUUUACGCUUAUCACUGUUUGCCAAUAGUGAAAGCAACCUACUGAAAAUUCAUUGAAUUUACAUGUCGAAUACUAGGGUGUGGGAUUAGAUGAGGAAGGCGAGAGCUAAUAUAAAUUUAAAAUGUUUUAGGUACAUACGUACUUGCUUUAUAAUCUAUGAUAUAUAUAAUUAUGAAUAGGUACAUACUUGUUGUUUCUUCUUUAUUAAGAUAUAUCCUAAAUUGUUCAAGAAAUAAAACUACUUCUCACGAAA